AGAGUUUGAUCAUGGCUCAUAGUGAACGCUGGCGGCGUGCCUAACACAUGCAAGUCGAACGAGAACGGGUUACAGCUUGCUGUAACUGUCAGCUAAGUGGCGCACGGGUGAGUAAUAUAUAGUUAAUCUGCCCCAAAGAAGAGAAUAAUUGUUGGAAACGACUUGUAAUGCUCUAUAUGCCUUUAUCACAUAAGUGAGCAAGGGAAAUAUUUAUAGCUUUGGGAUGAGACUGUACGGUAUCAGCUAGUUGGUGAGGUAAUGGCUCACCAAGGCUAUGACAUCUAACUGGUUUGAGAGGAUGAUCAGUCACACUGGAACUGAGACACGGUCCAGACUCCUACGGGAGGCAGCAGUGGGGAAUAUUGCACAAUGGAGGAAACUCUGAUGCAGCAACGCCGCGUGGAGGAUGACACAUUUCGGUGCGUAAACUCCUUUUAUAUGAGAAGAUAAUGACGGUAUCAUAUGAAUAAGCACCGGCUAACUCCGUGCCAGCAGCCGCGGUAAUACGGGGGGUGCAAGCGUUACUCGGAAUCACUGGGCGUAAAGAGCAUGUAGGCUGGUAAUUAAGUUGGAAGUGAAAUCCUAUGGCUCAACCAUAGAACUGCUUCCAAAAC
rnacentral:rRNA from 1 species